CGUGGGGGUGGCUGGCGGGUCACGGGCACGGAGUCAUAGUGUAGAGGGAGUGCACUUGCUUGGAGAGGCUGGACGAGCCGCUGCCCAGGGCUGCCGCCCGGGCCGGGACCUUUUCCCCGAGCCGCUUGCUGGCCACGUAGGCGCUGGUGGAGAAGCCGGAGCCGGGCUUGCGGAAGUUGGGCAGGUGGUGGAAGGGCUGCAGGGUAGUCAGCAGGCUGGGGCGGUACAAGGAGAGUCGCGGGGGCCGCUCUGUCUUCCGAGGGGACGGGAGUUGGAGGAUGCAGUUGGUGGCCGUCACCUCGGGGCUCUUCUUUUCCGUGGCCUUGGUGGCCCUGCUGGGGAAAGCCCCUGUGGCAGAGGCUGCGCGGGGCGUGGGCAGCGCUUUACCCUCCUUGGCAGGCGCUUCGGGAGUCUUGGCUGUGCUCUCCAGGCCGGGGAGUUGCGAAGUGGCGCUUCCGCUUUCGGCUGCAAAGGGGUAAGAGAGGUUAGGCUCUUGCAGAGCCUGUCCCAAGGACAGAGCAAGCUGAAGUGCCUGGUGAUGGGGCACGGUUGCCCGAAGACUGCCAGGCAGAGGGCCAGCUCGCAACUUGGUCCUGUGGAAACACUGAGGCACGACGUUUCCUCUUACAAAAGUCACCCCCGCGCCCAGGGUAAUCUUUUGCCCCAGAUGUGUGCAGCAGGGAAGAAACCAAACUGGUGGGUCCGGGGAAAUUACCCAGGGUGGGAGUGACUGAAGACUGACGUCAGCCUUUAUGCUUUACAAGAGCUCAUCACCCGGUGGAAGAUGGCUGACGUGGCAGGCAACAUCCAUCGGUGCGUGGCCACCUGCUGCAGGCCGAGCCGGGCUGCUGGCUUCAGCUGGAGCAAGCCCUCAAUGAGGUUCUGACACUCUGGAGCAGGGAGAAAAGCAGUGAUCUUGGUGUACUGGAGCGCUGUUUAUGGAAGGUGAGGCAGUGCAUCAGCCAGAGGAGCACACAGCUGCUUAUGGAAGUUCCCAUCACCACUCCUGGGACCUGCACGCAAGAGCAUUUUGAAGCAUUCGGUGUGCCUCGCCUACAAGUUUUAGUCUUCUGCCAGAGGCGGAAAAGCCAAAAGAACAAUUAAUUGACAUACUAUCUCAGGCAAUGAGUUGUGCUUGUAUAGAAUUUCAGGCCUCUUUAAUGCCUAUUAGUAUCCGGAGUCCUCCUAGCACCUUAAUAUUGUAAAAAUGAAUGCCAGCUUUAAAACACUCGAAGGAAUGAGUUGUAUCCUGCAAAGUGCAGAGAACUACAGCAUCCUUAUAUGAUAUUAAACAA